UACGUAGGGUGCGAGCGUUGUCCGGAAUUAUUGGGCGUAAAGAGCUCGUAGGCGGUUUGUCGCGUCGGCCGUGAAAUCUCCACGCUUAACGUGGAGCGUGCGGUCGAUACGGGCAGACUUGAGUUCGGUAGGGGAGACUGGAAUUCCUGGUGUAGCGGUGGAAUGCGCAGAUAUCAGGAGGAACACCGAUGGCGAAGGCAGGUCUCUGGGCCACUACUGACGCUGAGAAGCGAAAGCAUGGGGAGCGAACAGG
rnacentral:rRNA from 1 species